UGAGGAAUAUUGGGCAAUGCCCGAAAGGGUGACCCAGCAACGCCGCGUGGAGGAUGAAGGUCGUAAGAUUGUAAACUCCUGUUAGAGGGGAAGAAUAACUAAGUUUGGAGCUUAGUAUGACUGUACCCUCAGAGAAAGCCCCGGCUAACUACGUGCCAGCAGCCGCGGUAAUACGUAGGGGGCAAGCGUUGUCCGGAUUUACUGGGUGUAAAGGGCGCGCAGGCGGAAUGGAAAGUCAGUGGUGAAAUCCUACAGCUUAACUGUAGAACUGCCUUUGAUACUUUCAUUCUUGAGUUCGGGAGAGAGAGACGGAAUUCCAGGUAUAGUGGUGAAAUACGUAGAUAUCUGGAAGAACACCAGUGGCGAAGGCGGUCAACUGGCCCAUAACUGACGCUCAUGCACGAAAGCGUGGGGAGCAAACA
rnacentral:rRNA from 1 species